rnacentral:rRNA from 1 species
UACGAAGGGGGCUAGCGUUGCUCGGAAUCACUGGGCGUAAAGGGUGCGUAGGCGGGUUUUUAAGUCAGAGGUGAAAUCCUGGAGCUCAACUCCAGAACUGCCUUUGAUACUGAAAAUCUUGAGUAUGGGAGAGGUGAGUGGAACUGCGAGUGUAGAGGUGAAAUUCGUAGAUAUUGGGAAGAACACCAGUGGCGAAGGCGGCUCACUGGCCAGUUUCUGACGCUAAAGUGCGAAAGCGUGGGGAUCAAACAGG